CAAUAGCGUAUAUUAAAGCUGUUGCGGUUAAAAAGCUCGUAGUUGGAUUUCUGUCAAGGACAACUGGUCCGCCCUCCGGGUGAGCACAUAGUUUGGUCUUGGCAUCUUGCUGGAAACUGUUGCUGCGCUUGGUUGUGUGGUGCAGCUUUCAGCACUUUCACUUUGAGGAAAUUGGAGUGUUUCAAGCAGGCACACGCCUUUGGACACAGUAGCAUGGAAUAAUUAGAUUGGGCUUUUGCUCCAACUUGUUGGUUCCUGGAGCUGAGGUGAGAAUCAAUGGGGAUUGUUGGGGGCAUCCGAAUUUAGCCGUCAGAGGUGGAAUUCUUGGAUCUGCUAAAGACGGACAACUGCGAAANCGNNNGCCCAGGAUGUUUUCAUNGA
rnacentral:rRNA from 1 species